rnacentral:rRNA from 1 species
AUGGGUUUUGUGCAACAUCGAAAGGGUCCUGGUGUAGUUGGAUUGUUCGGAUUGUUACAACCUCUAGCAGAUGGUUUGAAAUUGAUUCUAAAAGAACCUAUUUCACCAAGUAAUGCUAGUUUCUCCAUUUUUCGAAUGGCUCUAGUGGCUACAUUUAUGUUAACGCUGGUCGCUCAGGCCGUUGUACCUUUUGACCAUUUUUAUUGA